GGCAAUGUUUAAACAACCAGUUAAUAGUACCAUUUCACUGGCUUUAUUUGACAUAGAAAAUGGAGAAAGACUUGUACGUUUAUUAUUUUGUUAUAAAUGAACAUACGUUUAUGUACAUACACCUAUGUAUAUAUAUAUAUACAAUAUACAUAUUAGUAUGCAUAUGACCGUUAAUUUGAUGUUUUUUUUUUUUUUUUAUUAAUUAUUGUAUAGGUUGAAACCAUUAUAUAUAUUUUACCUAGAAGAGAACUACAAUUCCUUGAAUUACUUGUUUCUAAAUUACUGGUGAGAUAAAUAUAUAAGUAUAAACACACGCAUUUUUGUUUAUACAUUAGUACGUAAACACGAAAGACAUACACAAAUUAAGUUUUAUAUUACCUAAUUAACACUACAAAAAAAAAAAAAAAAAAAAAAAAACAAAUACACUAUCCAUUUGUUCUUAUAUUUAUUUGCUAAUUUACUCAUGUAUAUACUCAUUUUUAUGAAGAUAAAACAAGAAGGGUCUUCCGUACGAAUAUACGAUUUAUUGAAAAGGACAAAACAGAAAGUUAAAGACACCUACUCAUUUCAACCUAUUGCAUUCGUUUUUUAUGACCACCCAUCACCUGUUAACGGAAAAGUUUACAACAAUCAAAUAAGUAAAAAGUUUUUUACUGUAUCGAAUAACCUCAUAGAAUUUUGGGACUUAGACACGUACAUGUUAAGAAAGAUGUAUUCUAUACAAGUUCCUGGACUUAAGAACCCAGAUCUGUAUAAUCACAGUCUAAUGACAGAAAUUAUAUGCAUGUACAGCUCGGACGCUUUUGUAAACAUACAACAAAAUAAAAAAAUAGCCGAUUAUGUUAAAUGUAUUAGGACUGCAUAUGAAACAGUGCAUGCUAAUACACUUCAAAAGGAUAAAAUAAAAACAGAAGAAGAAAAAAAAAAUUAUGAAAAAAAAAAAAAUAUUCUUUCCAACACUUUUCGAAAUAUUGAAUUAAGAAAUAGUAAUAAUAAUAAAGAUAUAAAACUUGGUGCUAUUUUAUUUUUUUCUUUAAAUGAUGGCGAAUUUUUAAAUUAUAUUACUGAACAUGUUUGUGGUUCUACUGUAGAGGUUCUAACUUCGAAUGAUACAAUGACAACUAUUAUAUGUGGGGACGACAAAGGUGUUAUUCGUAUUAUAAGGAACAACCCGAAAUUUGACGAUUUUGCGAUCGGCAACGGUAUAAUCGAGGUUACUCAUGCAGAUGCAAUAUACCAAAGUGCGUCUGGACCUACACAUUUUUGUUUUGAAAAUGAAAAAAAUAAAUUAAAUAAAAUUAGACGAAGACAAAAUGAAGUAGAUGAACAAGAAAUGUCGAAAAAAUCGAAGGUUAUAGAUUUGUUAGAAGAUCCAAGUUGUUAAAAUAUAUACAUAUGUGUUACAUUUUAAAUAGGCAUACGUAACAAAAGUAAUGAAAAACAUAUACAUUAUAUUUCUCGUUGUUUCUAUUUUCUUAUUUUUGUUUUUAAUAUUGUUGUCCUUAAUCAUUUACAUGUUUCAUUUCCAUAUUGUUACUGUUAAUAUUAUGGUAAUUACUGCCAUUAAUAGUAUACAUAUAUUCAUGUUUACAUACAAAUAUACGUAAAUUUCAUUUGUUUUGGUUUUGUAAUUCUAUUAUUUUAUUUUUUUUUUUAUUUUUUUUUUUUUUUAAACUGCUAUAAUAAAAAUUUUAAAGUUCAUUUGGCUUAUGGAUUU
ensembl:lncRNA